rnacentral:rRNA from 1 species
UGGAUAUCUGCCUUUUGGUUCGGAAUAACCCCGGGAAACUGGGGCUAAUACCGGAUGGUUCCUUCGGGAUAAAGAUUUAUCGCCAAAAGAUGAGUCCGCGUACGAUUAGCUAGUUGGUGAGGUAAUGGCCCACCAAGGCAACGAUGCGUAGCCGACCUGAGAGGGUGAUCGGCCACAUUGGAACUGAGACACGGUCCAGACUCCUACGGGAGGCAG